rnacentral:rRNA from 1 species
ACUCCUACGGGAGGCAGCAGUGGGGAAUAUUGCACAAUGGGGGAAACCCUGAUGCAGCCAUGCCGCGUGUGUGAAGAAGGCCUUCGGGUUGUAAAGCACUUUCAGUUGUGAGGAAGGUGGUGUCGUUAAUAGCGGCAUCAUUUGACGUUAGCAACAGAAGAAGCACCGGCUAACUCCGUGCCAGCAGCCGCGGUAAUACGGAGGGUGCGAGCGUUAAUCGGAAUUACUGGGCGUAAAGCGCAUGCAGGUGGUUUGUUAAGUCAGAUGUGAAAGCCCGGGGCUCAACCUCGGAACUGCAUUUGAAACUGGCAGACUAGAGUACUGUAGAGGGGGGUAGAAUUUCAGGUGUAGCGGUGAAAUGCGUAGAGAUCUGAAGGAAUACCGGUGGCGAAGGCGGCCCCCCUGGACAGAUACUGACACUCAGAUGCGAAAGCGUGGGGAGCAAACAGGAUUAGAUACCCUGGUAGCACAGAG